rnacentral:rRNA from 1 species
AGGUUAAUAUUCCUGCACCGUCGUUAGAUGCGAUGGGGGGACGGAUCGCGGAAGGUUGUCCGGGUGUUGGAAGUCCCGGUUUCUGUAUCAGAGAAGGCUGUUAGGCAAAUCCGGCAGCGUAAUUCAAGGGUAUGGGACGAGUGAACUUGUUCACGAAGCAAUCGGAAGUGGUUCCAAGAAAAGCCUCUAAGCUUCAGUCUAACGAGACCGUACCGCAAACCGACACAGGUGGGCGAGAUGAGUAUUCUAAGGCGCUUGAGAGAACUCGGGAGAAGGAACUCGGCAAAUUUGUACCGUAACUUCGGGAUAAGGUACGCCCUAGUAAUUUGACAGGCCUGCGCUUGAAGGAUGAAAGGGUUGCAAUAAAAAGGUGGCUGCGACUGUUUAAUAAAAACACAGCACUCUGCAAACACGAAAGUGGACGUAUAGGGUGUGACGCCUGCCCGGUGCUGGAAGAUUAAAUGAUGGGGUGCAAGCUCUUGAUUGAAGUCCCAGUAAACGGCGGCCGUAACUAUAACGGUCCUAAGGUAGCGAAAUUCCUUGUCGGGUAAGUUCCGACCUGCACGAAUGGCGUAACGAUGGCCACACUGUCUCCUCCCGAGACUCAGCGAAGUUGAAAUGUUUGUGAUGAUGCAAUCUACCCGCGGCUAGACGGAAAGACCCCAUGAACCUUUACUGUAGCUUUGCAUUGGACUUUGAACCAAUCUGUGUAGGAUAGGUGGGAGGCUUUGAAGCGGGGACGCUAGUUCUCGUGGAGCCAUCCUUGAAAUACCACCCUGGUUUGUUUGAGGUUCUAACCUUGGUCCGUUAUCCGGAUCGGGGACAGUGCAUGGUAGGCAGUUUGACUGGGGCGGUCUCCUCCCAAAGUGUAACGGAGGAGUUCGAAGGUACGCUAGGUACGGUCGGACAUCGUGCUAAUAGUGCAAUGGCAUAAGCGUGCUUAACUGCGAGACUGACAAGUCGAGCAGGUACGAAAGUAGGACAUAGUGAUCCGGUGGUUCUGUAUGGAAGGGCCAUCGCUCAACGGAUAAAAGGUACUCUGGGGAUAACAGGCUGAUUCCUCCCAAGAGUUCAUAUCGACGGGGGAGUUUGGCACCUCGAUGUCGGCUCAUCACAUCCUGGGGCUGUAGCCGGUCCCAAGGGUAUGGCUGUUCGCCAUUUAAAGUGGUACGUGAGCUGGGUUUAAAACGUCGUGAGACAGUUUGGUCCCUAUCUGCCGUGGGCGUUGGAAGUUUGAAGGGGGCUGCUCCUAGUACGAGAGGACCGGAGUGGACGAACCUCUGGUGUAUCGGUUGUCACGCCAGUGGCAUUGCCGAGUAGCUAAGUUCGGAAGAGAUAACCGCUGAAAGCAUCUAAGCGGGAAACUCGCCUUAAGAUGAGACUUCCCGGGAACUAGAUUCCCCUAAAGGGUCGUUCGAGACCAGGACGUUGAUAGGUCAGGUGUGGAAGUGCAGUAAUGCAUUAAGCUAACUGAUACUAAUUGCCCGUGCGGCUUGUUC